UACGUAGGGAGCAAGCGUUGUCCGGAAUCACUGGGCGUAAAGGGUUCGCAGGCAAUGCAAGUCUCGUGUGAAAGGCAAGGGCUCAACCCUUGUAAGCACAAGAAACUGCAUAGCUUGAGUAGUGGAGAGGCAAGUGGAAUUCCUAGUGUAGCGGUGAAAUGCGUAGAUAUUAGGAGGAAUACCGGUGGCGAAGGCGACUUGCUGGACACAAACUGACGCUGAGGAACGAAAGCGUGGGGAGCAAACAGG
rnacentral:rRNA from 1 species